rnacentral:lncRNA from 1 species
AAAGGCCUGAAGGUCCAGACAACCACACCACAUCUGGUUAGCCUGGGGAGUGGGAGGCUGAGUGUGGCCAUCACCCUACUGCCCCUUAAAGAGGUUCCAGGAGUGACCCGUAUCGGGCGAGAGGAGGCGGUGAUACCCCAAGACAUUCCCAUCCAGGGUACGGAACACUGUGUCAUCACCCUUGACCCCUACAGUAACCUCUGCUCCCAGGAUGGGGUCGCUGUGACAUCACCCGUCCCGCUCAUACAAGGCAUAGCCACGUGAAGAAGGGGUGCUGAAGGUGCUGAAGGUGCUGAGGGUGCUGAGGGUGCUGAGGGUGCUGAGGGUGCUGAAGGUGCUGAGGGUGCUGAGGGUGCUGAGGGUGCUGAAGGUGCUGAGGGUGCUGAGGGUGCUGAGGGUGCUGCAGCACGC